rnacentral:lncRNA from 1 species
GUCGGACCAAACACCCCCAAAACCCCUCACAGACCCCUCUCUUCUCAUAUCUCUCAUAACCCUAUCACUCUCAACAAACCUCUGUCGUCCGCCACCCGCCGGAAAUCGCCUCACAGCGGUGGUUCAUCUCCAAUUAACCCCAAAUCAACACCAGAUAACCUAUGUCUUCUCCUCUCUCCAAAUAUCAUAGCCUCAUCCCUCAAUUCCCUCUAGAAUCCCUUGAAUUUCAGAUCUUAGAACCCUCAAAACCCUAGUUCGCUUCUUGUAGCUUCCUUUAGUAAUUUCAGAAUCGACUUGACCUAAGACUUGUGUUGAUCGUUUGUUCUCAAUGAGAACAAACGAUUAACAUUAGUUUCGGCUUAUUUUGAAGAUGCCGGAGCCUGACUACACAGUCGUCAACCAGCCAAUGUUUUAAUUCCCCUUUUACCAGGCAGUCAUUCUUUUCUUCAAAGGGUAACUAUUUAUUGUUUUAUUUAGUUUAAUCUUGCAUUUAGUAGUAAUUCCGGGUUGAAUGUUCAUUUAUUAGGAUAAUCAGUUCAUUACAUAAUCAUGAAUAGUUUCAAGUUUUGUUUCUUAAUUUAAAUGGCAUAAGCUUAAUGAUUUAUGUGUAGCAGUAGGUUUGUUCAAAUCCGUAUGUUUUGUUUGGUGUGGUUGUGUGAUAGUUGGAACUUUAGGGAGUGAAAGAGUAAUAACAUAAGUAAAAGGGGUCGAAAGGAAUUUGGAAAUUAGGGAAUCUUAGGUCGUUAGAUAAGAUGCCUCUAGAAGGGUUUCAAAUGUAAUAAAACAAGGUAAUUUAGGUCAGAUUUGGGUAAAGGAGGGUUAUUUUCAGAAGUUAGGGGAGCUACAAAAAUGUAGGGAAAUAUCUGAAUUGGACAGCUGUCCAUUUUCAGUUAAAAAAAGAUGCUCUAUCCCUGAAUUUCAGUUAAAAUUCUCUGAUUUCAUGCUAGAAUAUUCCCAAUCAGACCCUCUCUCAUUCUUGGCUUAGAGUAGUAUAUAUACACUCAUUUUAGAGAGAAUGGACAGAUUUUUUUACACACGAAAAAAUACCCUGAGGUUCAGAAUUCCUCUUUUCAUUUCCUCACUAAUUCUACACUGAUAUACUGCAAUUUCAGAAAGUCCCUUCUAUUCAUCUUCAUGUUAUUAUUUUUUCUGGAAUUCUAUCCUUAAAUUUGAGAAAAAGAACAAAAAAGAAAGGUUUCUCAGUUGGCUUCAAUUUUUAUUAUUCAGUUUUAAGUUAUCUGGUUUUAAGUUUAAGUUUUAAAGUUCCACAGUUGGUUGUUUAUUGAGUUGUAGGUGGGCUUUUAGUUCUGUUGUGGUUUUUUCUCCAGAAAUCAAAGACUUUUUUUUCUUUUGUUUGUUUUGUUGUUUACCAGGUAUUGCUCUCAGUCCCAAAUCAUGUAGUUGCCAACGUGGAUGCCAUGACAAAAUAAAACCUGCUUCAAUUUGUCUUUUUAUGUGUUUCUUAGAUAUUCUCUUAUAUCUAAUUAUAGAUUAGAAUUGAGCUUGAAUUGUUUGAUGUAGUUAAUGUCUAAAGCAUGCUGUAAAUCCAAAUAACUGAUGAGAGGAUGAAUAUGGGAUUUGAUCUCGUGACUUGCAAGAACAACUUAAGGUUGAAUUGUUAUUGAUGUAAUUGAUAUCACUUGUUGAGUUUCAACUAUUUACUGUUAGAUCUGUGACUAAGAAGAAAUAGUAGUUAAUAUUGAAGUUUAGGCUCAUAGUUUUAUAUGCGUGAAAGUGGUCAUGUAUAAUAGUUGAUUCUAUUUUAAUUUAAAAUUUGCAGACCACUUUGUAAUUUAUUGAUUCUGUGUAUAGCUAUUGAAUCUGUUGAGGGUAUAUUUUUAAUGUGGGUCUACCGGAACACAUUCAAUCAAGCUUGUCAUAUUAGGCCCAAUUUCAAAUAACAAAUGCAUGUAAAUAUUGCACUGGGCGCCCUAUUUGGUUGCCCCCAUUUAACCGAUACCCAUUUUUUUAAAAAAUUUUAACUUGUACCCACUUCUUAAAUAACUUCAGCUCCUUUUCUCCUUUUUCUUCUCCUCUUCGUUUUCCUUUGUGCUCCUACUCCUCUCAACUCAAA